UGCGUAGGCGGCGACUUAAGUAGGUUGUGAAAUCUCCCGGCUCAACCGGGGAACUGCGUUCUAAACUGGGUUGCUUGAGUAAGAUAGAGGUGUGCGGAACUUCCGGUGGAGCGGUGAAAUGUGUUGAUAUCGGAGGGAACACCGUUGGCGAAAGCGGCACACUGGGUCUUAACUGACGCUGAGGCACGAAAGCCAGGGGAGCAAACAGGAUUAGAUACCCUGGUAGUCC
rnacentral:rRNA from 1 species